CCCUUAGAUGUCCUGGGCCGCACGCGCGCUACACUGAUGCAUGCAACGAGUUUAUAACCUUGGCCUGAAAGGUCUGGGUAAUCUUUUGAACGUGCAUCGUGAUAGGGAUAGAUUAUUGCAAUUGUUAAUCUUGAACGAGGAAUUCCUAGUAAACGCGAGUCAUCAGCUCGCAUUGAUUACGUCCCUGCCCUUUGUACACACCGCCCGUCGCACCUACCGAUUGAAUGGUUCGGUGAAGAUCUCGGACUUCGUUAUUUAUUCUUUAUUGAGUUUAUAUUGUGGGAAGUUAUCUAAACCUCAUCAUUUAGAGGAAGGUGAAGUCGUAACA
rnacentral:rRNA from 1 species